rnacentral:tRNA from 1 species
CGGACUGUAGCGCAGCUUGGUAGCGCACCGUCAUGGGGUGUCGGGGUCGGAGGUUCAAAUCCUCUCAGUCCGACCA